AACGCACCUUGCACUCUAUGGCAAUCCGUAGAGCAUGCCUGUUUGAGUGCCAUGAAAUCUCCCACCCCAAGCGGUUUUUAAAUGAAACGGCUUGGCGGAUGGGGACUGGAUGGGUGCCUCUGCCUGCGCUUCGAACUUGCCCCUGUGGCACAUCCCAGUUUCACUUCUGGUCUCAAAGCAGGUAGGAUCACCCUCUGAACGUAA
rnacentral:misc_RNA from 1 species